UAGCUCAGUUGGUAAAGCAUGGCGCUUGCAAUGCCAGGGUUGUGGGUUCGAUUCCCAC
rnacentral:tRNA from 1 species